GUGACUUGCUGCCACAUAACAGGACAAGAGACAGUUCAUUGAGAAUCAAGCGACUGAUACUUCCAUCUCUAGAUGAUCCACUCCGUGACUUAGUGAAGGCUGCUGUUUGCCACUGAGAAAACCCAGCCAAUGGUUGCAGAGAAGUGGAUUAUAUCAAAGGGGUAUUGCACAGCGCCAGAGCACAUGUUCCCAGGGAGCUCUUAGUGUGUGUAUGUCAUGAGGAUGGAAGUACUACUCAGUGCAGAGUCUGUCUUAACACCGGGAAUGUCAUGUGUGAAGACCUGGAACCUCUGGGAUUGGCAGGGAACUUGUCUGCCAGUUGGUUUGAUGUUACUGUGUAACAUGCCACGGGAACAGCCUCAUACCCGGCAGCCUUCUCAUCCAGGAACCCAGCAGAAGGAUAUUGCCCCACAUCUUGGC